CCUACGGGGGGCAGCAGUAGGGAAUCUUCCACAAUGGACGAAAGUCUGAUGGAGCAACGCCGCGUGAGUGAAGAAGGGUUUCGGCUCGUAAAGCUCUGUUGGUAGUGAAGAAAGAUGGAGGUAGUAACUGGCCUUUAUUUGACGGUAAUUACUUAGAAAGUCACGGCUAACUACGUGCCAGCAGCCGCGGUAAUACGUAGGUGGCAAGCGUUGUCCGGAUUUAUUGGGCGUAAAGCGAGUGUAGGCGGUUCAAUAAGUCUGAU
rnacentral:rRNA from 1 species